GACGAACGCUGGCGGCGUGCUUAACACAUGCAAGUCGAACGGAAAGGCCCUGCUUUUGUGGGGUGCUCGAGUGGCGAACGGGUGAGUAACACGUGAGUAACCUGCCCUUGACUUUGGGAUAACUUCAGGAAACUGGGGCUAAUACCGGAUAGGAGCUCCUGCUGCAUGGUGGGGGUUGGAAAGUUUCGGCGGUUGGGGUUGGACUCGCGGCUUAUCAGCUUGUUGGUGGGGUAGUGGCUUACCAAGGCUUUGACGGGUAGCCGGCCUGAGAGGGUGACCGGCCACAUUGAGACUGAGAUACGGCCCAGACUCCUACGGGAGGCAGCAGUGGGGAAUAUUGCACAAUGGGCGGAAGCCUGAUGCAGCAACGCCGCGUGCGGGAUAACGGCCUUCGGGUUGUAGACCGCUUUCGCCUGUGACGAAGCGUGAGUGACGGUAAUGGGUAGAGAAGCACCGGCUAACUACGUG
rnacentral:rRNA from 1 species